rnacentral:rRNA from 1 species
UACGGAAGGUCCGGGCGUUAUCCGGAUUUAUUGGGUUUAAAGGGAGCGUAGGCCGGAGAUUAAGCGUGUUGUGAAAUGUAGAUGCUCAACAUCUGAACUGCAGCGCGAACUGGUUUCCUUGAGUACGCACAAAGUGGGCGGAAUUCGUGGUGUAGCGGUGAAAUGCUUAGAUAUCACGAAGAACUCCGAUUGCGAAGGCAGCUCACUGGAGCGCAACUGACGCUGAAGCUCGAAAGUGCGGGUAUCGAACAGGAUUAGAUACCCCGGUAGUCCGCUACUAAU